rnacentral:rRNA from 1 species
ACUCAAAGGAAUAGACGGGGGCCCGCACAAGCAGCGGAGCGUGUUGCUUAAUUCGAUGCAACGCGAAGAACCUUACCUGGGUUUGACAUGCUGGGAAAAGCCGUAGAGAUACGGUGUCCUUCGGGGCCCAGCACAGGUGGUGCAUGGCUGUCGUCAGCUCGUGUCGUGAGAUGUUGGGUUAAGUCCCGCAACGAGCGCAACCCUUGUCCUAUGUUGCCAGCGGGUAAUGCCGGGGACUCGUAGGAGACUGCCGGGGUCAACUCGGAGGAAGGUGGGGAUGACGUCAAGUCAUCAUGCCCCUUAUAUCCAGGGCUGCAAACACGCUACAAUGGCCGGUACAAAGGGCUGCGAGUCCGCGAGGAUAAGCGAAUCCCAUAAAGCCGGUCUCAGUUCGGAUUGGAGUCUGCAACUCGACUCCAUGAAGCUGGAGUUGCUAGUAAUCCCGGAUCAGCACGCCGGGGUGAAUACGUUCCCGGGCCUUGCACACACCGCCCGU